rnacentral:rRNA from 1 species
UACAGAGGGGGCAAGCGUUGUUCGGAAUUACUGGGCGUAAAGGGCGCGUAGGCGGCCUUCUAAGUCGAACGUGAAAUCCCCGGGCUCAACCCGGGAACUGCGUCCGAUACUGGAAGGCUUGAAUCCGGGAGAGGGAUGCGGAAUUCCAGGUGUAGCGGUGAAAUGCGUAGAUAUCUGGAGGAACACCGGUGGCGAAGGCGGCAUCCUGGACCGGCAUUGACGCUGAGGCGCGAAAGCGUGGGGAUCAAACAGG